rnacentral:rRNA from 1 species
UAAGACGAACCGUGCGAACGUUGUUCGGAAUCACUGGGCUUAAAGGGCGCGUAGGCGGGCGGUCAAGCCCGGGGUGAAAUCGUUCGGCUCAACCGGACAAUUGCCUCGGGGACUGAUCGUCUUGAGGGAGGUAGGGGCAUGUGGAACUUCCGGUGGAGCGGUGAAAUGCGUUGAUAUCGGAAGGAACUCCGGUGGCGAAAGCGACGUGCUGGACCUCUUCUGACGCUGAGGCGCGAAAGCCAGGGGAGCGAACGGGAUUAGAUACCCCGGUAGUCCUGGCCCUAAACGAUGGGUACUAGGUAGUGGACCGGACAUGGGUUGACUGCCGAAGCUAAAGUGCUAAGUACCCCGCCUGGGGAGUAUGGUCGCAAGGCUG